GAUGAACGCUGGCGGCGUGCCUAAUACAUGCAAGUCGAGCGAACAGACGAGGAGCUUGCUCCUCUGACGUUAGCGGCGGACGGGUGAGUAACACGUGGAUGACCUACCUAUAAGACUGGGAUAACUUCGGGAAACCGGAGCUAAUACCGGAUAAUAUAUUGAACCGCAUGGUUCAAUAGUGAAAGACGGUUUUGCUGUCACUUAUAGAUGGAUCCGCGCCGCAUUAUCUAGUUGGUAAGGUAACGGCUUACCAAGGCAACGAUGCGUAGCCGACCUGAGAGGGUGAUCGGCCACACUGGAACUGAGACACGGUCCAGACUCCUACGGGAGGCAGCAGUAGGGAAUCUUCCGCAAUGGGCGAAAGCCUGACGGAGCAACGCCGCGUGAGUGAUGAAGGUCUUCGGAUCGUAAAACUCUGUUAUUAGGGAAGAACAAAUGUGUAAGUAACUAUGCACGUCUUGACGGUACCUAAUCAGAAAGCCACGGCUAACUACGUG
rnacentral:rRNA from 1 species